rnacentral:rRNA from 1 species
UACGUAGGGUGCAAGCGUUGUCCGGAAUUAUUGGGCGUAAAGAGCUCGUAGGCGGUCUGUCGCGUCGGCUGUGAAAUCCCGAGGCUCAACCUCGGGUCUGCAGUCGAUACGGGCAAACUGGAGUGUUGCAGGGGAGACUGGAAUUCCUGGUGUAGCGGUGAAAUGCGCAGAUAUCAGGAGGAACACCGGUGGCGAAGGCGGGUCUCUGGGCAACAACUGACGCUGAGGCGCGAAAGCGUGGGGAGCAAACGGG